rnacentral:rRNA from 1 species
UGGGGAAUAUUGCACAAUGGGCGAAAGCCUGAUGCAGCAACGCCGCGUGAGUGAUGAAGGCCUUCGGGUUGUAAAGCUCUGUCUUUUGGGACGAUAAUGACGGUACCAAAGGAGGAAGCCACGGCUAACUACGUGCCAGCAGCCGCGGUAAUACGUAGGUGGCAAGCGUUGUCCGGAUUUACUGGGCGUAAAGGAUGCGUAGGCGGAUUUUUAAGUGAGAUGUGAAAACCCUAAGCUUAACUUGGGGACUGCAUUUCAUACUGGAAAUCUAGAGUGCGGGAGAGGAGAAUGGAAUUCCUAGUGUAGCGGUGAAAUGCGUAGAGAUUAGGAAGAACACCAGUGGCGAAGGCGAUUCUCUGGACCGUAACUGACGCUGAGGCAUGAAAGCGUGGGUAGCAAACAGGAUUAGAUACCCUGGUAGUCCACGCCGUAAACGAUGAGUACUAGGUGUAGGAGGUAUCGACCCCCUCUGUGCCGCAGUUAACACAAUAAGUACUCCGCCUGGGAAGUACGAUCGCAAGAUUAAAACUCAAAUGAAUUGACGGGGGUCAUAGCUGUUUUCCU